GUACGUAGGGGGCAAGCGUUGUCCGGAUUUAUUGGGCGUAAAGAGCGUGUAGGCGGCUAGGUAGGUCCGUUGUGAAAACUCGAGGCUCAACCUCGAGACGCCGAUGGAAACCAUCUGGCUAGAGUCCGGAAGAGGAGAGUGGAAUUCCUGGUGUAGCGGUGAAAUGCGCAGAUAUCAGGAAGAACACCCGUGGCUAAGGCGGCUCUCUAGUACGGUACUGACGCUGAGACGCGAAAGCGUGGGGAGCGAACAGG
rnacentral:rRNA from 1 species